rnacentral:tRNA from 1 species
UAAAAAGUCCUUUAGACAC